rnacentral:rRNA from 1 species
AGUGAACGCUGGCGGUAGGCCUAACACAUGCAAGUCGAACGGCAGCACAGUAAGAGCUUGCUCUUACGGGUGGCGAGUGGCGGACGGGUGAGGAAUACAUCGGAAUCUACUUUUUCGUGGGGGAUAACGUAGGGAAACUUACGCUAAUACCGCAUACGACCUACGGGUGAAAGCAGGGGAUCUUCGGACCUUGCGCGAUUGAAUGAGCCGAUGUCGGAUUAGUCAGUUGGCGGGGUAAAGGCCCACCAAGGCGACGAUCCGUAGCUGGUCUGAGAGGAUGAUCAGCCACACUGGAACUGAGACACGGUCCAGACUCCUACGGGAGGCAGCAGUGGGGAAUAUUGGACAAAGGGCGCAAGCCUGAUCCAGCCAUACCGCGUGGGUGAAGAAGGCCUUCGGGUUGUAAAGCCCUUUUGUUGGGAAAGAAAAGCAGCAGGUUAAUACCCCGCUGUUCUGACGGUACCCAAAGAAUAAGCACCGGCUAACUUCGUG